rnacentral:rRNA from 1 species
CCUACGGGAGGCAGCAGUAAGGAAUAUUGGUCAAUGGUGGCAACACUGAACCAGCCAUGCCGCGUGCAGGAUGACGGUUCUAUGAAUUGUAAACUGCUUUUAUACGGGAAAAAACUUUCGAACGUGUUCGAAACUGAUGGUACCGUAAGAAUAAGGAUCGGCUAACUUCGUGCCAGCAGCCGCGGUAAGACGAAGGAUCCAAGCGUUAUCCGGAUUUAUUGGGUUUAAAGGGUGCGUAGGUGGACUUGUAAGUCAGUGGUGAAAGCCCGAUGCUUAACAUCGGAACUGCCAUUGAUACUGCAAGUCUUGAAUAUGUUUGAAGUGGGCGGAAUGUGUCGUGUAGCGGUGAAAUGCUUAGAUAUGACACAGAACACCGAUUGCGAAGGCAGCUCACUAAACCAUUAUUGACACUGAGGCACGAAAGCGUGGGGAGCAAACAGGAUUAGAUACCCUGGUAGUCCACGCCCUAAACGUUGAAUACUCGAUAUGUGCGAUACACUGUACGUGUCCAAGAGAAAUCGUUAAGUAUUCCACCUGGGGAGUACGCUCGCAAGAGUGAAACUCAAAUGAAUUGACGG